UGUCAGAUCAUUUCAAGCUCUUCUGUGUCGAGCUGAGGAGCUGCUCUGUGCCCGGCUUACAGAACUGGAAGGGGGAGCCACCUUCCGCCUGAUGGAGGCUGGAGAACGGAUGGAACCUGGAUCCCUGGAGCCUGGGACACUACCUCGCUGCGGUUGGUGGUGGCCACAGACCAGUAGGAGGGCGGCUGGCAGCGGGAGCUUCUUCUGCCGGGCUGGAGGACUAGGAGAAGGGAGAGGGAACGCCACAUGCUGGAGGCUGGAGCCUGUGCCACCGUGGCUCACCUCGAUGUGGUUGGUGGCAGCUCGCCUUGCUGUGGUUGGUGGUGACGUCGGAGACUGCAGCUCGGCCACAGUGGUAGAAAUGUGUUGGGCUUUUGCUGUGUUGGGCACUUGCUCCCAUCUGCUUGCUUCUCUAGAAUCCACUGCCCUAGAAUGAGUAAUUUUUCUUAGAAGCAGAGUUGGAACCACUGAGGAAGCACAGUCAUCUGAUUCAUCCUGGUAGCAAUUCCAUUCUGCAUCUCUUCUGGACACCCACAGGACCACCAGAACAACCCCAUCAUGGCCCUGUCACCAGGCCCAGUUUGGCUCCAUGAUAACCAAGACGCAGGUCCAGAGACAACCGCCCUGCUUGAUGCCUGCAUCUGACCUCCCUUGGUGGGUAGUGAUGAGCACAACAUGGAAGAAGCCAGGGCAGCUUGUGGCCAGCUGCCCUACAGCCCCAGAUGGCUGGGGACUAGGAUUCCAAAAGGAUGAUUUUGGAGCUGUAGGAUUGAAUGACUGGCCUGCUGGGUUUUGGAUGUUCGUGUAUCCUAUGAGUCCCAUCGGUGUUUGUUUUUCUUUCAGGCAAUUUUUCUUCUAUUGGCUGGGAAUGCUUACCCAUUGCCUGUACAAUCAUUGUACCUUGGAAGUAGUUAACUUGCUUUAUAAUUCAGAGGCUCAUGGGCAGAAGGGACUGUAUCCUUGUCCCAGAUAAAACUUUGGGCUUUGGACAUUUGCUGGAAUGAGUUAAGAUUUGGGGGACUGUAGGGAAGUCAUCAUUGUAUUUUGCAACGUGAGAAAGACAUACGAGAUUUGCAUGGGCAGGGACAGAAUAAUAUGACUUGGCUCUGUGUCCCACUGCUGUGAAAUUGUAACGGGAAAUGUUAAAGGUGGUGGGGGCUGGUGGAAGGUGAUUUAAUCAUGGUGGAGAGUGGAGGUUGGAAGGUGGGGGUGGUGGGGAGAAUUGGGGGGAAUUAUGGUGGGGUUGGGGGUGAAAGGCAGGGGUGGGGGUGAUCCUUCACAAGUAAUUAAACACCAUCUCCUUAAUGCUGUCCUUCUGAUAGUUCUCUUCAUAAUUUCGUAGCUGUGAGAUUGAAUACUGGUCUGCUGGGUUUUGGAUGUGCAUUGGGCCUGUGGUCCCAUUUGUGUUAUUUUUCUGGGAAAUUUCUUCCCUUUGGAUUAAGAAAGCUUACCCAAUGCCUGUACCAUCAUUGUACCUUGAAAGAAAAGAACUCCAUUUUAACUUCAGGGACUCAUAGGUAGAAGAUACUGUAUAGCCUUGUCUCGGAUGAGACUUUGAACUUCUUAUAGUUGAGUUGAUGCUGGAAUGAGUUAAGGCUUUUGGAAACUUUUGAAAAGGCAUGAUUGUGUUUUACCCUGUGAGAAGGACAUGAGAUUCGGAAGGGUCAAGGUCGGAAUAAUAUGGUUUGGCUGUGUUUUGCUAGAAAAACUCAUGUGGAAUUGUAAUCCCGAAUUUUGGUUGUGAAGCCUGGUGGGAGGGUGGUGGGUAGUAGGAAGGGGGAGUAGCCUGCUGCACAGGUAGAGGCUCAUGGAAAACCUCUACUAGGGCAGUGCACCUGUGGCUUUGCUGCUCUCAUGGCUGGGCUGGUGUUGAGUGCCUGUAGCUUUUCCAUGCAGAGGGUGGGAGCUGUUGGUGGGUCUAUGACUGGGGUCUGGAGGAUGAUGGUAUCCUGUGUGGGAGCUCCAAGCCCAUAUUUUCCUUCCGCACUUCCCUAGGAGAGGUUUUCCCAGAGGCUCUGCCUCUGCAUCAGGCUUCUGCCUGGAAACAGUGGGAGUUGGGGGUGGGGGGCGAAUCCUUCAUCAAUGGUUAAGCACCAUCUUUUUGAUGCUGAGCUUGUGAUAGUGAGUUCCCAUGAGAUCUGGUUGUAUAAUAGGGUGUGGCACCUCUUUCCUCUCUCUGUCUUGCUCCUACUCCUGCCACAUGAAUCAUCUCAUUGCCCCUUGACAUUCUGAUAUGACUGGGUGGCUUCCUGAGUCCUCCCAGAUUCAGAAGCCACUAUGUUUCCUUACAGCCUGCAGAAUCAUGAGAUUCUUUAUGAUCAUAGAGAAAAUUAGUACUGGAAAGUGGAUGUAUGAAAUGUCUUCAAGGCCUUUUCCCUGUUGUCUUGGCAAUCAGCACUCAGCUUCUUUUCAUUCAAGUAUCUGAAGCCUUGAAUUUUCCCCCUGAAAAUGGACUUGCCUUCCUUUACCACAUUGCCAGGCUGUGACAAAGAUAGGUGAUAAAGUAGAAGCAGGUUCAGAAGGGGGUAGCAGACAGAGGUUGGGAGAGUUUGAAGGGCUUUGAAGACAGGAAAAUGAGGAAAAGUUUGGAUCUUUGUAGAGAAUUGUUAAAUACUUGUGAUCAGAAGGCUGACAGGAAAAUGGUCAGUGAAAGCCAGACUUAGAAGGUCUCAGAUAAAAAUGAGGAACUUAUUGGGAACAGAAGCCAAGGUUACCUUUGUUUUGCUGUAGCAAGGAAUGUGGUGGCACGGUGACCCUGCCCUGGAGAUCUGUGAAACUUUAAACUUGAGGGUGAUGACUUAGUACAUAUUUGGUGGAAUGAACUUCUAGGAAGCAAAGCUCAAGAGGUGUCCUGUCUGCAUUGAACAGCCUGUGCUCUGAUGUGUGACUGAGGAAAUGACCUCUGGAUGGGACUUCCAUUAAACAAGUCCCAACUCUUACAUUAAAUAAGAAACAGAACUCAGAAGUUUGGAAAAUUUGCAGCCUGGCCAAGUGGUCAAAAAGAAAAUCUGAUUUUCAGGGAGAAAAUUCAGGAAGGCUUCAGAAAUUUGCAUAAAAAGGAGCCCAGUGCUAAUAGCCAAGACAAUAGGGAAGAGGCCUUGAAGGCAUUUCAUAGAACUUUGCAGCAGCCCUUCCUGUCACAGGCCCUGGGGCCUAGGAGAGAAGAAUGGUUUCCUGGGCCAGUCCCAUGACCCCCCUCUAUGUGCAGCCUCAGGGCACUGCUGCCUGCAUCCCUGCAGCUCCAGCUCCAGCCAUGGCUGAAAAUGCACAGAUGCAGCUUGGGUCACUGCUUCAGAGAGUGCAGGCUAGAAGCCUUGGUAACUUCCUCAUAUUGGUAAGCCACUGGGUGGACGGAUCUUGAGACUAGAGGCUUGGAAGCCUCUCUGUAGACUUUGGAAGAUGUAUGGAAAUGCCUGGGUGACCAGAAAAAAGCAUCCCAAAAAGGCAGAGCCUCAUAAGAAACCUCUACUAGGGCAGUGCAGAAGGAAAAUACGGGGUUGGAGCCCCCACACUGGAGGCCACCAUCAUGCAGACCCCAGAUUCGUAGACCGACCGAUAGCUUGUACCAUCAGUCGGGAAAAACUACAGGCACUCAACACCCGCCCAGCCCAUGAGUGCAGCCGUGGGGCAUAAACCCUGCAAAACCAAAGGUGCAGAGCAGCCCAGGGCCUUCAGAGCCCAGCCCUCACGUCCCUGUGCCCUGGAUGUGGGACAAGGUUUCAGAAAGGAUGAUUUCGGAACUGUAGGAUUGAAUGACUAGCCUUCUGGGUUUGGAGUUUCAUGGGGCCUGUAAGUCCUGUGUUUUGUUCUUUCUGGCAGAAUUCUUCCUUUCGGCUGAGAAUGCUUACGUAACAUUGCCUGCACAAGCAUUGUACCUUGGAAGUAGUUAACUUGCUUUAUUGUUCAGAGGCUCAUGCACCUAAGGGACUGUAGCCUUGUGUCAGAUGAGACUUUAAGCUUUGGACAUUUGUACAAAUGCUGGAAUGAUAUAAGAUUUGGAGGGGCUGUAGAGAAGGCAUCAUUGUAUUUUGCAAUGUGAGAAGGACAUGAGAUUUGGGAGCCAGGGACAGAAUAAUAAAGUUAAAGGUGGGGCCUGGUGGAGGGUGAUUUAAUCAUGGUGGAGAGGGGGGGUUGGAAGGUGGGGGUAGGGAGAAUGAGGGGAUUAUGGUGGGGGUGAGGGGUGAAAAGUGGUGGUCGGGGGUGGAUCCUUCACAAAUGAUUAAACACCACCUCCUUAUUGCUGUGCUUAUGAUAGUGAGUUUUCUUCAUGAUUUUGGAGCUGUGAGAUUGAAUGGAUACUGGCCUCCUGGGUUUUGGACUUGCAUUGGGCCUGUGGUCCUAUUUGUGUUUUUUUCCUGGGAAAUUUCUUCCCUUUCGAUUGAGAAAGCUUAUCCAGUGCCUUUACCAUCAUUGUACCCUGAAAGAAAAGAACAUCCUUUUAAAUUCAGGGACUCAUAGGCAAAAGGGACUGUAGACUUGUCUCAGAUGAGAUGUUGAACUUUUUACUUUUGAGUUAAUGCUGGAAUGAGUUAAGACAUUUGGAAGGAAACUUUUGAAAAGGCAUGAAUGUAUUUUGCUCUGUGAGAAGGACAUGAGAUUCUGGGGUAUCAGGGUCAGAAUAAUAUGGUUUGGCUGUGUUUAUUUACAAAACUCAUGUGAAUUGUACUUCUUAAUGUUGGAGGUGGGACCUGGUGGGAGGUGAUUUAAUCAU
rnacentral:lncRNA from 1 species